rnacentral:lncRNA from 1 species
UACAAAGUGACUAAUGGGUGGAUAAUGUAUACGGCAUGGAUGCCUAGACACAAGGAUGAUUCAUGUCCUGAGGAAGAUGAGUGGGAUGCCUUGUGAUUUCAUUACCCUACUCAGAAUAGUAGACAACUUAAAAUUUACAGAUGGUUUACUUCUGGAAUUCUCAGAGAGUGAAGCAGUGGAUAAAGGGGGAUUACUGUGUCUCCAGGUUAGAGAGAGAUAUAACAAUUACAUGCAGCAUAAGAAGUGCUAUAUGAUGUAA